rnacentral:tRNA from 1 species
UGGCUCAGUGGAUAGAGCGUUGGCCUUCAGACUCAAGAGUCACAGGUUCGAUUCCAGU